rnacentral:rRNA from 1 species
UAGGGAAUCUUCCGCAAUGGGCGAAAGCCUGACGGAGCAACGCCGCGUGAGUGAUGAAGGUCUUCGGAUCGUAAAACUCUGUUAUUAGGGAAGAACAAAUGUGUAAGUAACUAUGCACGUCUAGACGGUACCUAAUCAGAAAGCCACGGCUAACUACGUGCCAGCAGCCGCGGUAAUACGUAGGUGGCAAGCGUUAUCCGGAAUUAUUGGGCGUAAAGCGCGCGUAGGCGGUUUUUUAAGUCUGAUGUGAAAGCCCACGGCUCAACCGGGGAGGGUCAUUGGGAACUGGAGAACUGGAGUGCAGAAGAGGAAAGUGGAAUUCCAUGUGUAGCGGUGAAAUGCGCAGAGAUAUGGAGGAACACCAGUGGCGAAGGCGACUUUCUGGUCUGUAACUGACGCUGAUGUGCGAAAGCGUGGGGAUCAAACAGG